rnacentral:tRNA from 1 species
AGAUGGGUGGUUGAGUGGUUGAAAACGUCAAUUUUGAAAAUUGUUAUGAAAAUUAUUUUUAUCAUCGGUUCGAAUCCGAUUCCAUCUA